GAUCGUAAAACUCUGUUGUAAGGGAAGAACAAGUACGUUAGGAAAUGAACGUACCUUGACGGUACCUUAUUAGAAAGCCACGGCUAACUACGUGCCAGCAGCCGCGGUAAUACGUAGGUGGCAAGCGUUGUCCGGAUUUAUUGGGCGUAAAGCGCGCGCAGGUGGUUUCUUAAGUCUGAUGUGAAAUCUCGCGGCUCAACCGCGAGCGGUCAUUGGAAACUGGGGAACUUGAGUGCAGAAGAGGAUAGUGGAAUUCCAAGUGUAGCGGUGAAAUGCGUAGAGAUUUGGAGGAACACCAGUGGCGAAGGCGACUGUCUGGUCUGUAACUGACACUGAGGCGCGAAAGCGUGGGGAGCAAACAGGAUUAGAUACCCUGGUAGUCCACGCCGUAAACGAUGAGUGCUAAGUGUUAGGGGGUUUCCGCCCCUUAGUGCUGCAGCUAACGCAUUAAGCACUCCGCCUGGGGAGUACGACCGCAAGGUUGAAACUCAAAGGAAUUGACGGGGGCCCGCACAAGCGGUGGAGCAUGUGGUUUAAUUCGAAGCAACGCGAAGAACCUUACCAGGUCUUGACAUCCCAGUGACCACUCUAGAGAUAGAGUUUUCCCUUCGGGGACAUUGGUGACAGGUGGUGCAUGGUUGUCGUCAGCUCGUGUCGUGAGAUGUUGGGUUAAGUCCCGCAACGAGCGCAACCCUUGAUCUUAGUUGCCAUCAUUUAGUUGGGCACUCUAAGGUGACUGCCGGUGACAAACCGGAGGAAGGUGGGGAUGACGUCAAAUCAUCAUGCCCCUUAUGACCUGGGCUACACACGUGCUACAAUGGACGGUACAAAGAGUCGCAAACUCGCGAGAGCAAGCUAAUCUCAUAAAACCGUUCUCAGUUCGGAUUGUAGGCUGCAACUCGCCUACAUGAAGCCGGAAUCGCUAGUAAUCGCGGAUCAGCAU
rnacentral:rRNA from 1 species